rnacentral:piRNA from 1 species
UCUCUGCCAUUGCCUUUGCUUUUUUGCCA